UGCUACAAUGGCGUAAACAGAGGGAAGCGAGCCCGCGAGGGGGAGCAAAUCCCAAAAAUAACGUCCCAGUUCGGAUUGUAGUCUGCAACCCGACUACAUGAAGCCGGAAUCGCUAGUAAUCGCGGAUCAGAAUGCCGCGGUGAAUACGUUCCCGGGUCUUGUACACACCGCCCGUCACACCAUGGGAGUCGGGAACACCCGAAGUCCGUAGUCUAACCGCAAGGGGGGCGCGGCCGAAGGUGGGUCCGGUAAUUGGGGUGAAGUCGUAACAAGGUAUC
rnacentral:rRNA from 1 species